GACGAACGCUGGCGGCGUGCUUAACACAUGCAAGUCGAACGGAAAGGCCCUGCUUUUGUGGGGUGCUCGAGUGGCGAACGGGUGAGUAACACGUGAGUAACCUGCCCUUGACUUUGGGAUAACUUCAGGAAACUGGGGCUAAUACCGGAUAGGAGCUCCUGCUGCAUGGUGGGGGUUGGAAAGUUUCGGCGGUUGGGGAUGGACUCGCGGCUUAUCAGCUUGUUGGUGGGGUAGUGGCUUACCAAGGCUUUGACGGGUAGCCGGCCUGAGAGGGUGACCGGCGACAUGGGGACUGAGAUACGGCCCAGACGCCUACGGGAGGCAGCAGUGGGGAAUAUUGCACAAUGGGCGGAAGCCUGAUGCAGCAACGCCGCGUGCGGGAUGACGGCCUUCGGGUUGUAAACCGCUUUCGCCUGUGACGAAGCGUGAGUGACGGUAAUGGGUAAAGAAGCACCGGCUAACUACGUG
rnacentral:rRNA from 1 species